GACGAACCGAGCGAACGUUGUUCGGAAUCACUGGGCUUAAAGGGCGCGUAGGCGGGCCAUCAAGUCAGGGGUGAAAUCCUCCAGCUCAACUGGAGAACAGCUUUUGAUACUGGUGGUCUCGAGUGGGGUAGGGGCAUGUGGAACUUCCGGUGGAGCGGUGAAAUGCGUAGAUAUCGGAAGGAACGCCGGUGGCGAAAGCGACGUGCUGGACCCUUUCUGACGCUGAGGCGCGAAAGCCAGGGGAGCAAACGGG
rnacentral:rRNA from 1 species